rnacentral:rRNA from 1 species
GAUGAACGCUGGCGGCGUGCUUAACACAUGCAAGUCGAACGGAAAGGCCUCUGCUUGCAGGGGUACUCGAGUGGCGAACGGGUGAGUAACACGUGGGUGAUCUGCCCUGCACUUCGGGAUAAGCCUGGGAAACUGGGUCUAAUACCGGAUAGGACAAUGUUUUGGAUGCUGUUGUGGAAAGUUUUUCGGUGUGGGAUGAGCUCGCGGCCUAUCAGCUUGUUGGUGGGGUAAUGGCCUACCAAGGCGUCGACGGGGAGCCGGCCUGAGAGGGUGUACGGCCACAUUGGGACGGAGAGACGGCGCAGACUCCUACGGGAGGCAGAGAUGGGGAAUAUUGCACAAUGGGCGCAGGACUGAUGCAGCGACGCCGCGUGGGGGAUGACGGCCUUCGGGUUGUAAACUCCUCUCGCUAGGGACGAAGCGUUUUUGUGACGGUACCUGGAGAAGAAGCACCGGCUAACUACGUG